GUAUCAUGGAAAAUUGUUCACACAGCUUGACUGAUUGCUUUAAGGGUUUACACUUGUCUCAACUCAGAAAUCCAAGCUCUCCCAGGACUGUUCUAACGGCAGUUCUAAAAGCCUCUUUGGUGUGUUGGAGGCCAGGUAGAGGUGAAGCUUCGCAGUGCUUGGACGUAUACUCAACCAUACGGAGAAUAUCAGCCUGUAGCAGGUAAAUAAGAGCCCAGCACAGAAGAAAAGGCAGAGCUACAAGAAGACAGUGCCACAUUAUUUUCAUUGGAAUCUAUGUACGCAUCUAUGCCUGAGUUUAAAGAUGCUCAAUGACUGUAGGAAGAAGAUACUGGAUUUUCAAAAUAACAUUUGAUGAAAGCAAUUGCCAUGCAGUGAUGAGAACAGGUUUGGGAGGCUCAAGACCUGGUGUGACAUCCUGACUCCAAUUGGUUCAUAUGAGGAGACAAGGAGAAGAUGUCCAUCUGGAAACCUUCAGGAAGUGGAUCUUCACCAGACACCAGAUCUGCUGGUACUUUGUUCUGGACUUCUCAGUCUCCAGAACUGUGAGAAAUAAGUGUCUGUUGUUUAAGCCAUUCAAUCAAUAGCAUUUUGUCAUAUCAUCCUAAACUGUCUCGUGGUGUUUGUAUUGUUUCAACCUAAAGCCCUGAAUGAUGUGAAUGGUUAACCAUUUAUAAACUACUGAAGUUGACUCAGCACAUUAUCUUGUACAUGGUGGACCACUCAUACCAGAGGUUAGUAGGUUUUUCCAGUUAAACCUUCUAAUCAUGCAGUAAACAUUGUCUGCGCACCAAUAAGUGCCAGGUACUCUUCUCGGUGCUGGGGAUGCAAAAUGACACAAACCUCAGUCUUGCCCAGGAGCUCAUCAUCUCCUAAAAAUAAACAAACAAAAAAGCAAAUCUAUACAUUUGUGUGUUAGUACUAAAACAGAGGUAUGGUCCAGGAUUUAUGUAAACUGAUGACCUUAGUUCUUUGUUGGUUACACACAUUGAAAAUAUAUUCUUACAGUUUAUGGUCUUUUGUUUCACUUUUUAAGGUGUCUUUUAUGUAGAGUUCAUUAUGUUGUAUGUAUUUAUAAUCCAGGAUUAUUAAAAUGCUUGCCUAUAUGUUUUUUGCCUAAAUGUUUUAGGUUUUCUCUAUAUUAAAAAAUUAAUUUAGCAAAUGUUUUCUUGAAUCUAUUGAAGUGAUUUUAUGGUUCUUCUCCUUUAAUGGACUAAUGAAGAUAAUUACUUUAAAAGAUUUUUAAAUAUUAAAC
rnacentral:lncRNA from 1 species